rnacentral:rRNA from 1 species
UGCGCGUAAAUUGCCCGAAUCCUGACACAGGGAGGUAGUGACAAGAAAUAACAAUACAGGGCUACUUCUAGUCUUGUAAUUGGAAUGAGUACAACUUACAUCUCUUCACGAGGAUCAAUUGGAGGGCAAGUCUGGUGCCAGCAGCCGCGGUAAUUCCAGCUCCAAAAGCGUAUAUUAAAGUUGUUGCAGUUAAAACGCUCGUAGUCGGGUUUCGGGUCGGGCCGAGCGGUCUGCCGAUGGGUAUGCACUGUUUGGCGCGGCCUUCUUUCCGGAGACCGCGGCUACUCUUAACUGAGCGGGCGUGGGAGACGGAUCGUUUACUUUGAAAAAAUCAGAGUGUUUCAAGCAGGCAGCUCGCUCUUGCAUGGUACAGCAUGGGAUGAUUGAAUAGGACUCCGGUGCUAUUUUGUUGGUUUCGAACACCAGGAGUAAUGAUUAACAGGGACAGUCAGGGGCACUCCGUAUUCCA